rnacentral:rRNA from 1 species
AUUGAACGCUGGCGGCAUGCUUUACACAUGCAAGUCGAACGGUAACAGGUUAAGCUGACGAGUGGCGAACGGGUGAGUAAUGCAUCGGAACGUGCCCGAUCGUGGGGGAUAACGCAGCGAAAGCUGCGCUAAUACCGCAUCCGAUCUGAGGAUGAAAGCGGGGGACCGUAAGGCCUUGCGCGAUCGGAGCGGCCGAUGUCAGAUUAGGUAGUUGGUGGGGUAAAGGCCCACCAAGCCGACGAUCUGUAGCUGGUCUGAGAGGACGACCAGCCACACUGGGACUGAGACACGGCCCAGACUCCUACGGGAGGCAGCAGUGGGGAAUUUUGGACAAUGGGCGAAAGCCUGAUCCAGCAAUGCCGCGUGCAGGAAGAAGGCCUUCGGGUUGUAAACUGCUUUUGUACGGAGCGAAAAGGUCCUUUCUAAUACAAGGGGCUCAUGACGGUACCGUAAGAAUAAGCACCGGCUAACUACGUGCCAGCCGCCGCGGUAA